UACAGAGGUCUCAAGCGUUGUUCGGAUUCAUUGGGCGUAAAGGGUGCGUAGGUGGCGAGGUAAGUCUGGUGUGAAAUCCCGGGGCUCAACCCCGGAACUGCACUGGAUACUGCUUUGCUUGAGUACUGGAGAGGAGAUUGGAAUUUACGGUGUAGCAGUGAAAUGCGUAGAUAUCGUAAGGAAGACCAGUGGCGAAGGCGAAUCUCUGGACAGUUACUGACACUGAGGCACGAAGGCCAGGGGAGCAAACGGG
rnacentral:rRNA from 1 species